rnacentral:lncRNA from 1 species
CAUUUUCCAUUCAUCAACUUUUUUCUCAAAUUUUUUUCUUACAAUAAGAUGAAGAAGAUGAAGAUAAAAAAAGAUGAACAUUCAACAAAGAAAAAGAUGAAGAAGAACAAGAUUCAAUCAAGAAGAAAAAGAUGAUGAAGAAAAAGAUGAAGAAUCAAUGAAGAAUUCUUCGGUCAUCAUUUACCAACCAAGGGGUGAGUGGGGGACAAGAGAAGAAAAGCUUAUCCCAAACGGAAAGCUUUGACAACAUCGAGUUGGAGCACAUACUGAGAGCGGAGAACCAAAUCGUUGAUGCUCUAGCCACCCUAUCCUUGAUGUAUGCAUUGGGAAACCUUGAUGUCAUUCCCCAAAUUCAAAUCCAAAUACAAGAUGACUCUUCCCAUGUGGCUAAUGUAGAAGAAGAGUCGAACGGUAAACCUUGAUACCAUGACAUAAAAACUUAUAUUUAGAUAUAGCAAUACCCGUCGGGAGCACCAGAAAAUGACAAAAGGACAUUAUGGAGGUUCACCUUAGGAUUCUACAUCGAUAGGUACACCCUCUACAAAAGUAACCAUGAUCUUACCCUUUUACGGUGUGUGGACUCAAAAGAAGCCUUAUACGUACUUGAAGAGGUUCAUAAAGGGAUCUAUGGCACUCACUCCGACAGACAUGCCAUAGUAUGAAAGAUCCUAAGUAUGGGAUACCAUUAGACUCGGAUGGAGUCUGAUUAUAUGAUAUAUGUUCGUAAGUGCCACAAAAUGCCAAAUUUACACUGACGAUCUCCAGGCACACGCAACUUCCCUGAAUGUGAUGUCAUCACCCUGACCUUUCACCAUUAGGGGCAUCAAUGUGAUAGGGUUCAAGAUCAAACACCAUACCUCCAUCCCUUACAGAUAAAAAAUGAACGAUGUAGUGGAAGCCGCCAGCAAAAAUAACAGGAAGAUCAUACAAAAGAUGAUAGUUACUUAUCAAGAGAUUGGCACGAGAUGUUCCAGUUUGCACUUCAUGGAUUCCGUGCUUCGGUUAGGGAAUCUACCACCUCGUGUACGAAAUGGAAGCCAAUACUCCCCAUAGAAGUGGAAAUUCCUUCACUCAGAGUAUUAAUGGAAGCAAAACUAGAGGAAGUUGAGUGGCUAUAUGCACGAUAUGACCAACUUAACCUAAUAGAAGAAAAGAGGUUGGAAGCAGUUCACCAUGGUCACUUGUACCAGAGACUGCUAAUAUGGGCAUUCAAAAAAAAAGUAAAGCUUGGGAGGUUUUGAGAGGGAGAAAGGUGAUCAAGACUUUUCCACUAAAGCAGGGGGCCCUAGAGGAAAGUUUCCAAAUCUUGUCAAUUCAGAUAAAGUGAAGAAUUACUAUUCUUACACGAAUGAGUUUCCUCGGGUUUCCAAAGGAGGUUAUCAAAUUAGGCUUUGAGGCUCAUAAAAAUUCUUAUUAUUCUGUUUUCAUAUUUGUACCUUAUUAAAUGUUCCAAAAGUGAAAUAGAAAGCAAAUUUGGCAUAUUUAUAAAAUCUGCGGAAAUUGAAUUAUUCAAAAUUUCACUCUCUUCCUUUCUUUCCUUCCCAAAAAAUUCAAACACCUAUCCCUCUUUCUCAAAUUUUUAAAUUUUUUCUCCUUUUCUAUUUCUAUUUCCUCCAUCUCCUUCAUUUUCCAUUCAUCAACUUUUUUCUCAAAUUUUUUUCUUACAAUAAGAUGAAGAAGAUGAAGAUAAAAAAAGAUGAACAUUCAACAAAGAAAAAGAUGAAGAAUCAAUGAAGAAGAAGAAAAGGAGAAUAUAUAUUAAGUAGAAUAAAAGAAUAUAUUAAGAAGAAUAAGAUGAUGAUGAUAAUUAAGAAGGAUGAAGAAGAUGAAAAAAAUGACUAGAGAAUGAAGAACGAAGAACGAUGGACAACGAAUGAAGAAACUCAGUUGGGUUUUUGCAUUUUUUUAUUACUGGACGAAAAGGCUAACGACGGAUAAAAUUCAUUGUUAGCUUAACAGCGGAUAAAAUCCACCAUUAAUUAUUCUACCAUUACUUAUCUUAACCCUCCAUUAGUAUUUCUAACAGCGGACUAUUUGCUGUUAAAAUAAAUAAAAAAUCGUUUUUAGCCAAGCAGUUUCUUGUACUGAGCUUUUUCGGGUCCCAAGUACAUUUGUUGAAUUUCGAAAACAUGAACAUUUACUUUUUAAAAUCAUUUUGCAAGUAUGCAUACCAUGCAU